rnacentral:lncRNA from 1 species
CACUAUUUGGUAUUUCUGGUCUGUGGUUCAUGCCUAUUGGAAGUCACAUUUUCUGUUGAUUUAGUGUGACAGAAGCAAGUGAGAAGUCAAGACAACCGUGUGGACCCCUUUGGUGGAACUGCGCCCCGUGAGCACAAGAAAAACCGAAAAGAAUCCACUUUAUAAAAAUGGGAAGGAACUGGUCCCGUUGUUAGAAACACACCGUCAUGCUCUGGGUGUGAAGUGUUGUCUACGUGGAUGAAAUUGAAGUAGCACCUUCCAUCCUACUUUUGGGCUAGCUUGUACCCCUGCCACUGCUCCAAAAUAGGAAACAGCAGGUCAAAGUGCAGUGUGUCGCAGAAGUGUUUCCAAGUGUGAAGAGGCGCUGAGCCCCUGGGACACCCACGUCUCUUCCUGUUUCCCUUUCACGUGAAGUAAGUUGACUAACUUUGUUUAUGUUUUCUGUAACGCUCUCUGGAAAAUUU